ACUUUUUUAAUAUAUAAAGUAUAUUUGACUUCCAAUCAAAAAGUCUAAUUUUUUUAGAAAAAGUA
rnacentral:tRNA from 1 species